rnacentral:rRNA from 1 species
UACGGAGGGUGCAAGCGUUAUCCGGAUUCACUGGGUUUAAAGGGUGCGUAGGUGGGCUUGUAAGUCAGUGGUGAAAUCUCCGAGCUUAACUCGGAAACUGCAUUGGAAACUACCUGGCUCGAGGGUUGGAGGGGGGACUGGAAUGCUUGGUGUAGCAGUGAAAUGCGUAGAUAUCAAGCGGAACACCAGUGGCGAAGGCGAGUCCCUGGACAACUCCUGACACUGAUGCACGAAAGCUAGGGGAGCAAACAGG